rnacentral:rRNA from 1 species
CUCUUGGGUUGUAAACCUCUUUUCUCAGGGAAGAACAUAAUGACGGUACCUGAGGAAUAAGCAUCGGCUAACUCCGUGCCAGCAGCCGCGGUAAUACGGAGGAUGCAAGCGUUAUCCGGAAUGAUUGGGCGUAAAGCGUCCGCAGGUGGCAAUGUAAGUCUGCUGUUAAAGAGUGAGGCUCAACCUCAUAAGAGCAGUGGAAACUACAUAGCUAGAGUGCGUUCGGGGCAGAGGGAAUUCCUGGUGUAGCGGUGAAAUGCGUAGAGAUCAGGAAGAACACCGGUGGCGAAAGCGCUCUGCUAGGCCGCAACUGACACUGAGGGACGAAAGCUAGGGGAGCGAAUGGGAUUAG